rnacentral:rRNA from 1 species
GACUGUUUACCAAAAACAUAGCUUUUAAUAUAAUUAAAAGUGUAACCUGCCCAUUGAUUUAUAAAUAAAAAUUUUAAAUAAUUGAAAAUAAAUUUAAAGGACGCGGUAUAUUGACCGUGAUAAUGUAGCAUAAUCAUUCGCCAUUUAAUUAAUGGAUAGUAUGAAUGGUUGAACGAAUAUAACACUGUCUUAAAUAAAAAAUCUAUAAAAUUGAAAUAAUAGUAAAGAUGCUAUUUAAAAUUGUAAGACGAGAAGACCCUAUAGAGCUUAACUACAUUUAUUUUAUAAAAUAAAAUGGUAGUUUAGUUGGGGCGACUACCUUUUAAAAAAAACAAAGGUAAUCAAAAAUUAAUUAAUUAAUUUAUUGUUUAAUAUAUAUAUUUAACAAUUAUAAAAGUAGGAAAUAAUGACCCAUUAAAUAAAAAAAGUAUUAUUAAUGAUUAAUAAAUAAAAGCUACCUUAGGGAUAACAGGAUAAUUUUGUUUUAGAGAUCUUAUCGAAUACAAAGUUUGUCACCUCUAUGUUGAAUUAAGAUAUCCUGAAAAUGCAGAAGUUUUCAAAGGUAGGUCUGUUCGACCUUUAAAAUCUUACAUGAUUUGAGUUCAUUCC